GUAAAAGAGAUAAUAAUGAUCUGUACAAAGAAGUAAAAAUAGUUUGGCUUUUAAAAGUAUAUGACUAGAAUGUAUUAUAAAAUGGUUGUUUAAGUAAUUGAAGGUAUAUGAAAAUCUUUAGUAUGAUAGGGAUAAAUUGGUAAUAUAAUUAUUGAGGAAGGUUAUAGAAGGAAGCAAUAAGGUUAUAAAUGACAUUCGGAAUGGAUAAUGUGAUUACGUUAAUGAUUGUAAU
rnacentral:lncRNA from 1 species